UCAUCUACAAACUUCAAUGAAUUUUUUAUGCAUUUACCCCUUGACAUGAUUAUUGCAUAUCAACAAACACAAAACUGUUAAACACACAAAAAAUAAUUAGACAUUAUACUAAUAAUUAAACAUAAAAUUGUCAAGCACAUAAUAAA